rnacentral:rRNA from 1 species
GCUUGCUUCUCUGAUGUUAGCGGCGGACGGGUGAGUAACACGUGGAUAACCUACCUAUAAGACUGGGAUAACUUCGGGAAACCGGAGCUAAUACCGGAUAAUAUUUUGAACCGCAUGGUUCAAAAGUGAAAGACGGUCUUGCUGUCACUUAUAGAUGGAUCCGCGCUGCAUUAGCUGGUUGGUAAGGUAACGGCUUACCAAGGCAACGAUGCAUAGCCGACCUGAGAGGGUGAUCGGCCACACUGGAACUGAGACACGGUCCAGACUCCUACGGGAGGCAGCAGUAGGGAAUCUUCCGCAAUGGGCGAAAGCCUGACGGAGCAACGCCGCGUGAGUGAUGAAGGUCUUCGGAUCGUAAAACUCUGUUAUUAGGGAAGAACAUAUGUGUAAGUAACUGUGCACAUCUUGACGGUACCUAAUCAGAAAGCCACGGCUAACUACGUGCCAGCAGCCGCGGUAAUACGUAGGUGGCAAGCGUUAUCCGGAAUUAUUGGGCGUAAAGCGCGCGUAGGCGGUUUUUUAAGUCUGAUGUGAAAGCCCACGGCUCAACCGUGGAGGGUCAUUGGAAACUGGAAAACUUGAGUGCAGAAGAGGAAAGUGGAAUUCCAUGUGUAGCGGUGAAAUGCGCAGAGAUAUGGAGGAACACCAGUGGCGAAGGCGACUUUCUGGUCUGUAACUGACGCUGAUGUGCGAAAGCGUGGGGAUCAAACAGGAUUAGAUACCCUGGUAGUCCACGCCGUAAACGAUGAGUGCUAAGUGUUAGGGGGUUUCCGCCCCUUAGU